UACGAAGGGGGCUAGCGUUGCUCGGAAUUACUGGGCGUAAAGCGCACGUAGGCGGUCUUUUAAGUCGGGGGUGAAAUCCUGGAGCUCAACUCCAGAACUGCCUUCGAUACUGGAAGACUUGAGUCCGGGAGAGGUGAGUGGAACUGCGAGUGUAGAGGUGAAAUUCGUAGAUAUUCGCAAGAACACCGGUGGCGAAGGCGGUUCUCUGGGCCUUACCUGACGCUGAGGAGCGAAAGCGUGGGGAGCGAACAGG
rnacentral:rRNA from 1 species